GUGCCAGCAGCCGCGGUAAUACCGGCAGCCCGAGUGAUGGCCGAUAUUAUUGGGCCUAAAGCGUCCGUAGCUGGCCGAACAAGUCCGUCGGGAAAUCCACGUGCUUAACGCGCAGGCGUCCAGCGGAAACUGUCCGGCUUGGGGCCGGAAGAUCCGAGGGGUACGUCCGGGGUAGUAGUGAAAUCCCGUAAUCCUGGACGGACCGCCGGUGGCGAAAGCGCCUCGGAAGGACGGACCCGACGGUGAGGGACGAAAGCCAGGGUCUCGAACCGGAUUAGAAACCCCGGAGUC
rnacentral:rRNA from 1 species